rnacentral:tRNA from 1 species
AGCAGCGUGGCUCAGUGGAAAGAGCCCGGGCUUGGGAGUCAGAGGCCAUGGGUUCGAAUCCCGGCUCUGCCA